UAAAAUAGAAAAUUCUUACUUGUAUCAUUUAUUUUUAAAGGUUGACCUACAAAUUUUGAAAUGAUUAGAGUUUGUUUUAUUUAAUAAACAGAAUAAUUUAUAAUUAUAAAUACAUUGAGAUUUUUAUCACCUUGCUCAUUAUAGAAUUUGGGUAACAUAAAUUUCUCAUCUUCUUGUCCACCAUACAUGGAAAAAUAUCGAUCCGUUCCAUCAUGUGUAACAAAACUGUUUUUUUUUUUUUUUUGAAGAUUGUAAGAGUUUUCUAUUUUUUAAAUAUAUAUUUAUAUUGUUUUAAAUUUAUCAUUCAAAUUUGUAAAUGAAAUGUUAGUCAUAUUUCAUCAUUCAUUCAAAAUAAUGAAUUUGUUGAUAUGGUUAUGGAUAUGGAAACAGCUGAAAAAAGUGGGAAGAGUGUAACAAAACUGUUAGAAUAAGUUUUUUGGAGGCCGGACAUAUUCUGAAAUUAAACUGACAAAUAUUAAAAUGAGUAUAUACAAAAAACCUUAACAUUACAAUUGCAAAGGAAAAAAACAAAUAGACCUAUAUCUAUAUAUAUUUUUGUAAAUUAUUUUUGUGUGUUGUAUAUAUAUAUUUUUUUUGUUCAACGUGUGUUGUAUAUAUAUUUCCAUGAACAACAGAUUAAACAAAUUUGAUUGGCCGUGGUUUGUUUAUUCCAUUUUGCAGAGUUAAAAUCUAAAAGAAUUUUUUUGCUUUCCCAGAUCCAACCUGCGCCGUCGCCAAAGGCUCAUUCUAGAAACCGGCAGUUUGCAAGUAAUACGGUUUCCGGGACUUCACGGCGGGGGUGUCCAAGCCCAGCAUCGAUUCGUCACCAGUCACCGUCAGUAUGCCAUUCUCGGAAGGGUCCACGCAGCACAAACCGCUGGCAUCUUACUUCCGGCUCAAAACCCUAGCGGCCGCAAGUUGCUUGAGUCUCUAGGCUCCUGACAGGUCCGAGCAUCCACGUAUCCUUCCUCAAUCGAAGCCCUGACUGAAGAAUCCGGCUAAGAAGAGAGGAGAGGGAACCGCUAUCCGAAAUCCAACCUCCGCCGUCGCCAAAGGCUCACUCUAAAAACCGGCAGUUUAUAAGUAAUCUGGUUUCCGGGACUUCACGGCGGGGGUGUCCAUGCCCAACAUCGAUUCGUCAGUCACCAAAUCCUAGACGCCGCAAGUUGCAUGAGUCUCUUGCUCCUCACAGGUCCGAGAAGCCACAUAUCCCUCCUCAAUCGAAGCAAUGACUGAAGAAUACGGCUAGGAAGUGAGGAGAGAGAACCACCAUCCCAGAUCCAACCUCCGUCGUUGCCAAAGGCUCACUCUAGAAACCGGAGAAGACAACUUCACUCUUGAUAAGGUUGAACCGGACCACCAAAGUCAGAUGAACCUCUAGUUGCACACGGACGCGAGCUGGCUCCUUAUCGGGUCGCAAGAUGGGACGGAACGCGAGCUGUAUGGAACGGUCUUGCGUCUGGUCACGGAUGUGUGCUGAGGUAGUUGGACGCGAUCGGGACGCGUCUUCUUCUUAUCUAGUUCGCGAGCUGCUGCCUUUGCAAGCGGCUGAUCUAAUUGCGAGCUGGCUGUGAUGCGAACGUGGGCUGGCUCUAUUGUGAACAGGAAGCAAUAUGAGAAGAACCGUGAGCUGGUCAAGAUUGAGAUCGUCGGUUCAUGGUCAGUAUAUGGAUCGCGAACAGCUUUGUGUUUGAGAUCUUUGCACCAACUCCUCUCAGCUCAUGAAAUAAAAACAAGGAGUAUUAGAUUACAUGAACACCAUAAUCUGAACAAUAUAUCAUCAAACAACUAAGGUAUGAUAAACUUAUCUUUCACAGGAUUUGAAUUUGGCUAGAAAAUCUUCUUGGUUCGGAUUAGGGUUCCAAAAGACCAAGGCGGCGCCGCGUACUGUUUCUGCGAGUGAGGGCGCGUCUGAGAUCGGAACGACGAACGGUUUGCGCUGAUGGAUUCAAUUUGAUAUUUGGCUUGUCGUCUGGUUCCUCAAGCUUUGAGAGAUAGAUCGAUUUUAAGUUGCGCCUGAUUUAGGGUUUAUGUGUGACGGAUUUUAGGUUAAGUUUUGUCUCAGGGUUUUGGAGUCUAUCGUGCUGAUAACGUGUUGUAAUUAGAGAGUUUAGAGACUGAAUAUUUCGGUGUUAUUAUUAAUGAUUAAGGGGGUUCCUUUAUAUAAGGAUUACAAGAUGAAGAUAAAUGGAAAAUAUCCAAAACCUAAACUCACUAGGAUUAGGAAAACUACUAAUACAUAAUAAUGGAAAGAUUACAUCUACUAGGAAAAGGAAAGGGUUUCCUUUUCUCCAAGCUUUAUGGCCGCCUUUCUCUCUCCUGAAGUCGGCUCUCUCUCUCCUCUCUCUAGGCUUCGGCCAUCUCUCCAUCUUCUAGGUAUUGGGCCGGUCUCGGUCCGGACCUGGUUAAUGGCAAUCCACUCCAUGAUUUAUAACAUAAAAUGCAUUUAUAGUGUACGUAUAUCAUGCACUAUGACUAAAUUUCUAGAUAACGUUCAUAAAUAAAAUCUACACCUAAAGAUAAUAUUAUAAAAAAAAAAUUACAACAAUAACUACAACUACGUAGACGUUCAGAAAUAAAAUCCACCGAUUCAGAUUAUUAUUUCCCAUUCUUAAGAGAUUUUUAAAUACUAAUUAGAGUUUAAUUAUGCACAUUUAAUGCGUCUGCAAAACCAAAUUAAGCAAAUACAAAAUAAAAUUCCAUAUAAGGCUUCACUCACAAAUAUUAAAUUUUUAGAGUAGUCUUUUUUUGUCUACAUAUAGCUCUAUCUAGUUCAUUUAUGUAUAACUCCACAUCUCUGCGCAGAUCGUACCAUGGUUAACAACUAUAUAGUAUUCUAUUUCUAGUCCAGGUCUGCAUUAUUUACGAUUUGUAAUGCUACUUUCUUUGUGCCGACAAACAAAUGUAGGGAAAGAGUUGUUGGAAAGAGAAGUGGACGUGACUAUCUCCACCAUAUCCACUUAUGUCCCCAUAUGUCUCCUUUCCGUUCGUUGUCAGUACUCAGUAGACUCCUUUUUAAGAAAACGAGAGAAACAUAGCUAGACGCAAAUCUAAGAAAAUACAACAUAAAGAGCGAAGUUUUUGCUUAAUAAAAAGUAGGGGGCUUUUGUCCCUUGCAUCCUACCAAAAAAAAAAUCUUGUUCACCUAACGGGGCGUUGUUUGAAAUUAUACAGUAGAUAUAGUCAUAUAGGCCUGGCUUGUCGGUCGAGGAAUGACUCAAUGAAGUCUGGAAUUACGUUCCUUCCUAGGACUGUAAACCGCAGCAGGAAAGGGGAUUUUGCUAAGAACUGACUGUUGAAGAUCUAAAAGUGAUAAAAUUUGGACUGAAAAAAAUAACAUUUGAUAAGACUUGCUAACGUUGGAAUGGAGAAUUCAUAUAUAUUACAUCAAACCUUUUCCCUUAGGAUAAAUUUGUUUAUAAUGCUUAGUCAAGUUGUUAUUUAUCUAAUUUUCAAAAUUGUAUUACGUGGUCAUGCAGCUAGUCUAAUUUUCAUUUACGUAUUUGGCUGCAGAAGUAAAAGAAAAAAAAAAAGAUAAAUUAUAGGAUGACGACAUGAAGGAAGUUUCUUUUCAUUAGAGCUGGAAAUUUUAAUCAUUGCCCGCGGGCCCCGCUCCGUUUGACCCGCCGCGGGGCGGGUGCGGGUCGAACCAUUUGAAAAUUUUAAUUCGCGGGUGCGGGUCGAGAUUAUUUUGAGCGGGGCGGGUGCGGGUCAGCCGAAUUUGAAUCGCGGGUACCCGCCAAC